AUGAAUGUCAUCCUGGUCCAGCAAAUUCUUAUGACAGAGGCUGUGAAGUCAUUACUAGAUGUGCUAGAGAUGUUCAUGACAUAAACACUUGAUGAUGAUGGUGGUGGUGAUGGAUGGGAUGCCACUGCCGCUCAACUGUUGUUCCCAGAAGCAAAUAUCAACUACAGGUUGUUCAUUGAGAUCGUCAGAUAGCAAGAAGACUUAUGUGCUUUUGUAAAAAGUAGUGUUGAAUUGAAUCUUA
rnacentral:misc_RNA from 1 species